UACGUAGGGUGCGAGCGUUGUCCGGAAUUAUUGGGCGUAAAGAGCUCGUAGGCGGUCUGUCGCGUCUGCUGUGAAAUCCCGAGGCUCAACCUCGGGAUUGCAGUGGGUACGGGCAGACUAGAGUGCGGUAGGGGAGAAUGGAAUUCCUGGUGUAGCGGUGGAAUGCGCAGAUAUCAGGAGGAACGCCGAUGGCGAAGGCAGUUCUCUGGGCCGUAACUGACGCUGAGGAGCGAAAGCGUGGGGAGCGAACAGG
rnacentral:rRNA from 1 species